CUUCUUUCCCCUUUCCUCUGUCCCCUUCUCUCAUUUCCUUCUCCCUUUCCUCCUCGCCCCCCUGAAUUCAAUCCUUCCAUCUACCCCUUACCCCCUCCUUUGGAAUUGCUGGAAUUAAAGGAGGGAAAAGGGGAGCUGGAAGCGGACCCUCCCCCUUAGUGUUUUUUUUGCGCGUGCUCAUUUCUCCCUUUCUGCCCCUCCCUUCUCGGAAAGAGGUGAGGGGAGUGACAGGUUCGAGCCCUCCCUUCUAGCCCCGCGCAGAGAGCAUGCGCUCUCCUCUCGUGGCAGGCUGACCCCAAGCUUCGCCUUGUCUUCUCUGUCACGUCCUCUCUCCCUGUCCAGUCCCACCCUAGCCUUAAGGCCCUGGGCCCGAGGGAAAGGGGUUCCCACCCCAGUCUUGCAUUUUGCAUUUUCCGUAAUAGAGAGGUCUCAGAAUGGAGAAGGGAGACAGUCAUCGGCAGGGAAACUGAGGCACAGCAGCAGAAGGAUGGAUCCUGGUCUAGUGGUUCCCAGUCGAGUCUUGUAACUGAACCAGAGCGCUGGAGUAUAAGUUGGAGAGAGGACUGAGGCUCUGCCAUUAUAAUCACUGUUGAAUAUAGGCGACUCAUGUGCCUCUCUGGACUUCAGUUUCCUCCCGUUAAGCAAACUAGGCUUCUCUGGCUGAUUUGGGAGCUAUCUCCAUGUAUCUCCUCUUCUCCCUCUCAUGAAACUGAAGCCCACAGCUGAGAUCAAGUGACUUGCUAAGGUCCCUGAGAAAGGAAUUCUGGUUGAACUUAGACCGAGGGCCCUUGGAACCACCCUGGACUCUGAUGAAGGGGCAGAGCAGGCCAUGGACCUAAAUGCAGAAUUUCUGUGCCAUGCCUCAGAAAUCUGAAACUCACUCCAGCCUUGGAAUAAACACAUUGGAAGUCCCCACAGCGCCGGUGAACUCUCCCUUAGACUGGAUGGCUCCUUCCAUAAUCCCUAUUUAACUAUGGAGGGUGCCCAGACCAGCCAUACUUUCAUUUCUCUCCAGGCUACACUCCAGACUUUCUCUACCCCACUCUCACCCCAUGACAAGUACUUUCAUCCCUCUUCCCCCUUUUUAAGCGUCCCUUUCUGUGCAGUCUUCCCCCAUUAGAGUGUAAGCUACUUGAGGGCUUACAUUUGUAUCCCCAGUGCUUAGCACAGAACUUGACACACUAAAUACUUACUGAUAGUAAAAGAAAAUAUAUAAUAAAAUAUCUAGAGGGUAUUUGGCUCAAAUAGGGGGAAAAAGGGCUUUAUGCUCUUCUUGAUCCAAAGUUAACAGACGUCACUCAUGCUAUCCUGUCUCUAGAUAAUCCAAGGAAUGCCAUACCAAACUUGAAGAUGAAUAAUUGAAGCAUAUUAUCGAAUGAUUUUAUUAUUAUAUUUCUUAUAUAUCAAUUUGUAAAGUUACUCUCAACCAGUGGACACAUAUACAUUUAAAAAGAAAAGCAACAUGCAGCAUCAGAUUGGUGAAACGAACAAAAUAUCGCGGUGCGCAAAUGGUACAUACUGGAAGGCAGUGAGGUCCAUGAUUCCCAGAGAACCCCAAGGUCCCAUUCUGAACUUCAGCCAGUGUUGAACCAGAUUUGUUCAGAAGCUUAAAGCAAAGAGGGCAUAUCAUACACGCGCUGUUGUAUCCCCACACUGAACAGCAAAGUACUUGGCUUCCAGAAGAGAAACCGAUGGAUGCGUCUCCCUGUCCUUUGUCCUAGCGGCUUUCAACUCCAGGGCCGGGGGUGAGGGUGAGGGUGGGGGUAGCUGAGCUGAUGUGCAAGCCAACGUGGUGGCUCCUGUUAGGACAGUUCUGCUGGCACUGUCCAGUAUGUGCAUGGACCUUCAUCUAUCAUUAAAACCUGUAGUGGCCAAACUUGGAAGACCAUAUUGUUUUUAAAUAACAAAUUUUAUUGAUAUAUUUUGUUUUUAUGUCACCUAGAUUUCCCCCUGUAUCCUUCUCCUUCCUAGAAAGUCAUCCAGUAUAACAAAGAAUAUUUCUGAAGAAAAAAAUCAGCAAAAUCAUUCAAUACAUUGAAAAAAUUGAACAGUAUGUGCACUAUGCCACACUCAAAGACCCUCCCUCCCUCCACCUGUGAUGGAAGAGGAGACAUCUUCUCAUAUCCCUUCUUCUGGGCCCCAUUUGUCCUUUGUAAUUUCAUUUUUAAGUAUUCUCCAUUUGUCAUUUUUGAGUGUUUUAUGGUUAUUCUUCCAUUCCCACUGUGGUCGCCAUUGUAUAUAGUGUUUUCUUGGCUUGGCUUACUUCACUCUGCAUCAUUUCAUGUAAGUCUUCUCAUACUUUUCUGUAUUCCUUCAUACGUGUCACUUAUUAUAGCACCACAAUAAUCCAUUACAGAAAGACUUCAUUCGAAUUUCUAAGCACAAAAUUCUUCCGCAUCUCAGUCUCCUUCCCCUUUAUUCUCCUACUUCCAAUCCCACCCCCACCCCACUCCCCCCAGGAGGGUAUAUGGUGGUGGUGGGGACAGCAGUGAAGAAAUGUUCAAAAGCAUGUCCCAAUCAAUCAGUAAACAUUUAUUAAGUGCCUACUAUGUGCUAAGCCAUGGCCCACGGCCUCAUUCUGUGUACUGAGUUGCUGACAGGGAGGAGAUUUGAGUCCUAAUGUGCUAGGAGCUGGCGAGAAGGAGGAGAGGAUCAAUUGGGAGAGUGGAUGCUUUUUUUUUCAGAGGCAGCAGGCUGUAGGUAUGGAAUCACUACAUAUACUGUCAGACUCAGGAGUGGGGUCAGUUAAGUUUGCUGAACUUUUUUUCCCCUUUCUUUUUUCUUUGUUACAGGGGAUGGCUCUCUGGGUAGAGGAAGGCAAAGAGGUACUUUUAGAAAGGAAAGUGAUGCAAAAAAACCCCAAUAAAAUAAAAUACAAGGAGGAAGGUUGAGGAAGCAAUGAAAGGAAAGCCAGAUGAGGCUGCUGGGCUGGUCACCAGCCUGCUGAUGGUGGCCCCUCCCCAGAAGCAGGCGAUCCUUGUUUGAUAGCAACAAGUGGGCUGUUUACUCAGUAGUCACACCACUCACUUCCCAGGGUCCCUGUGAAGAAAGUGUGUUGUAAGCCUGAUGGUGCUAUGACACUCAAGUCACUAUUAUUAAAAGACAAAGGAAUGGGGCAUAUACUGUGUAUAAACUUGCAAUGAUCGGUUGGGUUUCAUAGGCUUCACAGAACACUUCCUGAGCACUCCCCUUCAGGUUGGGCCUCUCACUUAGCUAGGAUUAGGCUGGAGGCGUGCCCAGAUUCUGGGUUCUCCAGAAAGCAACAGCAGGAAUAGCACAAACUGGGAUGCAAGAGCCUGGGCUCUCAUCUCAGCUUUGCUACAAGCUUCCUGCAUGAGUCAUUUCCCUGCUUCAGGUCUCAGCUUCCUCAUCUGUAAAAUGGAGUUGGACUAGAUGAUUUCUUAGGUUUCUUCUAGCUCUGGCAUC